rnacentral:rRNA from 1 species
AGUGAACGCUGGCGGUAGGCCUAACACAUGCCAGUCGAACGGCAGCACAGUAAGAGCUUGCUCUUACGGGUGGCGAGUGGCGGACGGGUGAGGAAUACAUCGGAAUCUACUUUUUCGUGGGGGAUAACGUAGGGAAACUUACGCUAAUACCGCAUACGACCUACGGGUGAAAGCAGGGGAUCUUCGGACCUUGCGCGAUUGAAUGAGCCGAUGUCGGAUUAGCUAGUUGGCGGGGUAAAGGCCCACCAAGGCGACGAUCCGUAGCUGGUCUGAGAGGAUGAUCAGCCACACUGGAACGGAGACACGGUCAAGACUCCUACGGGAGGCAGCAGUGGGGAAUAUUGGACAAUGGGCGCAAGCCUGAUCCAGCCAUACCGCGUGGGUGGAGAAGGCCUUCGGGUUGUAAAGCCCUUUUGUUGGGAAAGAAAAGCAGCAGGUUAAUACCACGCUGUUCUGACGGUACCCAAAGAAUAAGCACCGGCUAACUUCGUG